AGAAGCAGUUAAGCGCCAGAGCUUCAUUUCGCGCGAAUGUGUCCGAGUCUGAGAGUGGAGGUUUGAGGCAUGUUGAUAUCUCGGCGGGGUUGGCCAGGGUCUGUGACGGCCUGACAGGCAGCCAUGCCGGUGAUGCCUUAGGCGGUUCGGAUGGGGACGUAUUCGGCAAAGAGAAGCUGACGAGGUGGAGGUGUUCGGAAUGUUCGGCGGGGGCCUCCCGGUGCUGCAUCGCACCGUAACCGCAUUGGCAAAAGGAAUGGGCGACCGUUCCCACAAACCUUGCGGGCAGAUGGAA
rnacentral:ncRNA from 1 species